UACGUAGGGGGCUAGCGUUGUCCGAAGUUACUGGGCGUAAAGCGCGCGUAGGCGGGUUGGCAAGUCCGCUGUGAAAGCCCGGAGCUCAACUCCGGAGGGUCGGUGGAUACUGCCAGUCUUGAAGGUGCUAGGGGGAGAUGGAAUUACCGGUGUAGCGGUGAAAUGCGUAGAUAUCGGUAGGAACACCAGUGGCGAAGGCGGUCUCCUGGGGCAUUCUUGACGCUGAGGCGCGAAAGCUGGGGGAGCAAACGGG
rnacentral:rRNA from 1 species